AGAGUUUGAUCCUGGCUCAGGACGAACGCUGGCGGCGUGCCUAACGCAUGCAAGUCGAACGGAGAUUUCAGCAAUGGAAUCUUAGUGGCGAACGGGUGAGUAACGCGUAGACAACCUACCUUCUAGCUGGGGACAACACUGCGAAAGUGGUGCUAAUACCGAAUGUUGUAUUUUGAGUGCAUACUUAAAAUACUAAAGGUGGCCUCUAUUUAUAAGCUAUCACUAGAAGAUGGGUCUGCGUCUGAUUAGCUAGUUGGUGAGGUAACGGCUCACCAAGGCGACGAUCAGUAGCCGGUCUGAGAGGAUGAACGGCCACACUGGGACUGAGACACGGCCCAGACUCCUACGGGAGGCAGCAGUGGGGAAUCUUCCGCAAUGGACGAAAGUCUGACAGAGCAACGCCGCGUGAGUGAAGAAGGUUUUCGGAUCGUAAAACUCUGUUUUCAGGGACGAAUGUGUGGAUUGUAAAUAAUGAUCCAUAAUGACGGUACCUGACAAGAAAGCCACGGCUAACUACGUGCCAGCAGCCGCGGUAAUACGUAGGUGGCAAGCGUUGUCCGGAAUUAUUGGGCGUAAAGCGCGCGCAGGUGGGAUAAUCAGUCUGGUGUUAAAGUUCGGGGCUUAACCCCGUGAAGCAUUGGAUACUGUUAUUCUUGAGUGCAGGAGAGGAAAGUGGAAUUCCUAGUGUAGCGGUGAAAUGCGUAGAUAUUAGAGACACCAGUGGCGAAGCGACUUUCUGGACUGUGUCUGACACUGAGCGCGAAAGCCAGGUAGUGAACGGGAUUAGAUACCCGUAUCUGUCGUAAACGAUGGUACUAGGUGUUGGGGGUAUCGACCCCUCCAG
rnacentral:rRNA from 1 species